CUAAUACAUGCAAGUCGAGCGGACAGAAGGGAGCUUGCUCCCGGAUGUUAGCGGCGGCACGGGUGAGUAACACGUGGGUAACCUGCCUGUAAGACUGGGAUAACUCCGGGAAACCGGAGCUAAUACCGGAUAGUUCCUUGAACCGCAUGGUUCAAGGAUGAAAGACGGUUUCGGCUGUCACUUACAGAUGGACCCGCGGCGCAUUAGCUAGUUGGUGGGGUAAUGGCUCACCAAGGCGACGAUGCGUAGCCGACCUGAGAGGGUGAUCGGCCACACUGGGACUGAGACACGGCCCAGACUCCUACGGGAGGCAGCAGUAGGGAAUCUUCCGCAAUGGACGAAAGUCUGACGGAGCAACGCCGCGUGAGUGAUGAAGGUUUUCGGAUCGUAAAGCUCUGUUGUUAGGGAAGAACAAGUGCGAGAGUAACUGCUCGCACCUUGACGGUACCUAACCAGAAAGCCACGGCUAACUACGUGCCAGCAGCCGCGGUAAUACGUAGGUGGCAAGCGUUGUCCGGAAUUAUUGGGCGUAAAGGGCUCGCAGGCGGUUUCUUAAGUCUGAUGUGAAAGCCCCCGGCUCAACCGGGGAGGGUCAUUGGAAACUGGGAAACUUGAGUGCAGAAGAGGAGAGUGGAAUUCCACGUGUAGCGGUGAAAUGCGUAGAGAUGUGGAGGAACACCAGUGGCGAAGGCGACUCUCUGGUCUGUAACUGACGCUGAGGAGCGAAAGCGUGGGGAGCGAACAGGAUUAGAUACCCUGGUAGUCCACGCCGUAAACGAUGAGUGCUAAGUGUUAGGGGGUUUCCGCCCCUUAGUGCUGCAGCUAACGCAUUAAGCACUCCGCCUGGGGAGUACGGUCGCAAGACUGAAACUCAAAGGAAUUGACGGGGGCCCGCACAAGCGGGGAGCAUGUGGUUUAAUUCGAAGCAACGCGAAGAACCUUACCAGGUCUUGACAUCCUCUGACAACCCUAGAGAUAGGGCUUUCCCUUCGGGGACAGAGUGACAGGUGGUGCAUGGUUGUCGUCAGCUCGUGUCGUGAGAUGUUGGGUUAAGUCCCGCAACGAGCGCAACCCUUGAUC
rnacentral:rRNA from 1 species